GACGAACGCUGGCGGCGUGCUUAACACAUGCAAGUCGAACGUGAUUUUUGUGGAAAUUCUUUCGGGAAUGGAAAUGAAAUGAAAGUGGCGAACGGGUGAGUAACACGUGAGCAACCUACCUUACACAGGGGGAUAGCCGUUGGAAACGACGAUUAAUACCGCAUGAGACCACAGAAUCGCAUGAUAUAGGGGUCAAAGAUUUAUCGGUGUAAGAAGGGCUCGCGUCUGAUUAGCUAGUUGGAAGGGUAAAGGCCUACCAAGGCGACGAUCAGUAGCCGGUCUGAGAGGAUGAACGGCCACAUUGGAACUGAGACACGGUCCAAACUCCUACGGGAGGCAGCAGUGAGGAAUAUUGGUCAAUGGGCGAGAGCCUGAACCAGCCAAGUAGCGUGCAGGAUGACGGCCCUAUGGGUUGUAAACUGCUUUUGUAUGGGGAUAAAGUCAAUCACGUGUGAUUGUUUGCAGGUACCAUACGAAUAAGGACCGGCUAAUUCCGUGCCAGCAGCCGCGGUAAUACGGAAGGUCCAGGCGUUAUCCGGAUUUAUUGGGUUUAAAGGGAGCGUAGGCUGGAGAUUAAGUGUGUUGUGAAAUGUAGACGCUCAACGUCUGAAUUGCAGCGCAUACUGGUUUCCUUGAGUACGCACAACGUUGGCGGAAUUCGUCGUGUAGCGGUGAAAUGCUUAGAUAUGACGAAAGAACUCCGAUUGCGAAGGCAGCUGACGGGAGCGCAACUGACGCUUAAGCUCGAAGGUGCGGGUAUCGAACAGG
rnacentral:rRNA from 1 species